rnacentral:snoRNA from 1 species
GCCCUCUUAGGGUUGCACCUGGAGAGUUUCCAGUAGUCUACCAGUCUCGGCUAUGGGAGGGAGAGUCAAACAGAGGCAUACCCAUUCCAUUCCUAGCUUGGGCAGUGGUUGAUGAGUGGAAGGCAAUCUGCUACAAGU